rnacentral:rRNA from 1 species
UACGAAGGGGGCUAGCGUUGUUCGGAAUUACUGGGCGUAAAGCGCGCGCAGGCGGCUAUCCAAGUCAGUGGUGAAAGCCCGGAGCUCAACUCCGGAACUGCCAUUGAAACUGUUUAGCUUGAGGACGAGAGAGGUGAGUGGAAUUCCCAGUGUAGAGGUGAAAUUCGUAGAUAUUCGGAAGAACACCAGUGGCGAAGGCGACUCACUGGCCCAUUACUGACGCUGAGGCUCGAAAGCGUGGGGAGCAAACAGC